CCACUCAAGAAUUUUUCCCCUAUCAUGUUUCAUUCUACCAAAUCAACAUAGAUUAAGUCGUUUAAAUUAAUUGAUUUUUUUUUCUUAGGGUUUUAAGAUUAUGCAGUUUCCCUCGGAGUAAUGAUCCAUUCCAUUGUUUGAUUCACGAACGCAUCUGUAAUACUACAAUUGCGCAACUAUUGAGAUUUUUGGUGUGAUGAAAAGAAAAGGCAAAACAGAAAAAAAGUUUCUGUUGAAAAGAGGAGAAAAAUGAAGAAGGCAAAAACAGUUGAUGCUGAGACAGAUAGUAAAUUGAAUAUUCAAGAUGGAGUAGUGAAUGACACCAUCCUUCUGAAGCUAAAGAGAUCCAAGUCUUUAAGGAGCAUCUGCAUCGAGCUGCUGAUAUUGGAGCUGCAAUUAAACCUUAUAUUAAAAGCCUUUUCUUGUAUGUAGGUCAAUGAAAACUAAGAAAAAGAGGAUAAAGGAAGAGAGUUUUGGGAAGGAGGUUCAAAAGUCACCAAAAAAGGAGGGGGCCAUGAUCACAAUUGAGACUUAUAUUAUUUCUUCUGGAAAUGAGGACUGCUUAAAAGGAAUGAAAAGUAUGACUAGUGAAAUCGAGAGGAUUAUUUUUACAUUGUGCAUCUGAAAUUAUUUUAUUCGAUUAUUGCAUACAGACGGGUUGAUGAGCUUAUUUUGCAAUGUUCCUAUAUAUGUUGGGCUAUUUACAUCCUGUAGCAAGUUUGAUUGAGAUACAUCUUUUUUUUAUGCACUAUCCUAUUGUCAUUUAAUUGACAUCUUGUAAAUUUCUGACUGGGGCUACUUAAAUUACGGAGUGGAUCAUGGAAUAUCAUGUAAGUGGAUUAUGGUUGAAGGUGUUGCAGGAUCAAAUUGAUGACUUCAUAACUGCUUAAAAACUUCGUACCCCAUUGCCCAGAGACUCUUCGCUAUGCGAAGGUAUGGGGGAGGGAUGUUGUACGCAGCCUUACCCUUGCAUAUGCAAAGAGGCUGUUUCCGGAUUCGAACCCAUGACCAAC